rnacentral:rRNA from 1 species
GACCAGACUCCUACGGGAGGCAGCAGUGGGGAAUAUUGCACAAUGGGGGAAACCCUGAUGCAGCGACGCCGCGUGAGUGAAGAAGUAUUUCGGUAUGUAAAGCUCUAUCAGCAGGGAAGAAAAUGACGGUACCUGACUAAGAAGCCCCGGCUAACUACGUGCCAGCAGCCGCGGUAAUACGUAGGGGGCAAGCGUUAUCCGGAUUUACUGGGUGUAAAGGGAGCGUAGACGGCAGCGCAAGUCUGAAGUGAAAUCCCAUGGCUUAACCAUGGAACUGCUUUGGAAACUGUGCAGCUGGAGUGCAGGAGAGGUAAGCGGAAUUCCUAGUGUAGCGGUGAAAUGCGUAGAUAUUAGGAGGAACACCAGUGGCGAAGG